AAUAGUUUACUGUGUCACUCGUACCGAUAACCGCAUCAGGUCUUCUAGGUAAGUAGCCUAUGGCCAUUGAGGCAUGAUAGUUCAGGGAAUUCGGCCAAUUAGAGCUGUAACUUCGGGAUAAAGCUUGGCUCUGAUGAAAAUCAGAACCGAUUGUUACGCGGAGAGCCCAACUGUUUAAUAAAAACGUAGUGUCGCGCUGUGGUAGUAUAGCCAGUGAACGCGACAUGAAUCCUGCUCAGUGCUGUGUCUGUUAAUAUGGUUCAAGCCAACGAAGCACCGGUAAAUAGCUGGGGUAACUAUGACUCUUAUCAAAGUAGCGAAAUACCUCGUCACUUAAUUAGUGACCUGCAUGAACGGAGCUAUGAGGUUCUCACUGUCCCAAACUGUCUCUCAGCGAACCAACUGUAGUGGGAACGGUCACUAGAUAUCCAGCGGGGAAAGAAGACCCUGUAGAGCUUCACUUUGGUCUAGUCUUGUAUAGUUCCUGCGGGGGUGUAGACUAGGUGGGAGAGCAAUCGAUUCUGAAAAACCACUACCCUGUUUGGAAUUAUGCUUACCUAUCACAAGGAAUAGGACUAGAUAGAAAGUUUGGCUGGGGCGGCACACCUUCGAAAGAGCAGCGAAGGUGUCCUAAGUUGAGCUCAGUGAGGACAGAAAUCUCACGUUGAGGAUAAGGCCAAAAGCUCAAUUUACUGUGCCUUUUUGUACUAGGAUCAGUUACGAAAGUAAGGCCUAACGAUCCCUAAAUAGCCUCAGGUGCGUGAGGAUUGGGGUGACAGACAAGUUACCUCCGGGACAACUGGCUUGUGGCUGCUAAGAGAUCAAAUCAACGCAGCUUUUUGAUUCUUCGAUGUCGGGCUCUUCCUAUCCUAGUGAUGUACAAGUUGCUAAGGGUCGGAUUGUUCACCCGUAUUAGGGAUCGUGAGCUGGGUUUAGACCGUCGUGAGCCAGGUUUGUUUUAUCCUACU
rnacentral:ncRNA from 2 species